rnacentral:rRNA from 1 species
GGAACGUGUCCUGUAGUGGGGGAUAGCCCGGCGAAAGCCGGAUUAAUACCGCAUACGAUCUAUGGAUGAAAGCGGGGGAUCUUCGGACCUCGUGCUAUAGGGGCGGCCGAUGGCAGAUUAGCUAGUUGGUGGGGUAAAGGCCCACCAAGGCGACGAUCUGUAGCUGGUCUGAGAGGACGACCAGCCACACUGGGACUGAGACACGGCCCAGACUCCUACGGGAGGCAGCAGUGGGGAAUUUUGGACAAUGGGGGCAACCCUGAUCCAGCAAUGCCGCGUGUGUGAAGAAGGCCUUCGGGUUGUAAAGCACUUUUGUCCGGAAAGAAAUCCUAGAGGCUAAUAUCCUGUGGGGAUGACGGUACCGGAAGAAUAAGCACCGGCUAACUACGUGCCAGCAGCCGCGGUAAUACGUAGGGUGCGAGCGUUAAUCGGAAUUACUGGGCGUAAAGCGUGCGCAGGCGGUUCGCUAAGACCGAUGUGAAAUCCCCGGGCUUAACCUGGGAACUGCAUUGGUGACUGGCGGGCUAGAGUAUGGCAGAGGGGGGUAGAAUUCCACGUGUAGCAGUGAAAUGCGUAGAGAUGUGGAGGAAUACCGAUGGCGAAGGCAGCCCCCUGGGCCAAUACUGACGCUCAUGC